CUUUAUUCUCACUGGUUUCGAAGAACAUCUUUAUUUCUGCCUUCAUUUCAUUAUUUACCCAAAAGUCAUUAGGAGCAGGUUACUUAAUUUCCAUGUAAUUGUAUGAUAUUGAGUGACCUUCUUAGUAUUUCUAUUUUUAUUGUGCUGUGGUCUGAGAGUGUGCUUGGUAUGAUUUUGAUUUUAUUGAAUUGAUAAGAAUUGCUUUAUGGCUGAGUGUAUGGUCAAUUUUAGAUUAUGUAUGUGCAGGUGAUUAGACUGUAUAUUCUGUUGUCAUUGGGCAGAAUGUUGUUUAGAUGUCUGCUAGGUCCAUUUGGUCAAGUGUUCAGUUUAGGUCCUGAAUACCUUUGUUAAUAUUCUGCAUUGAUGAUAUGUCUAAUACUGUCAAUGGGGUGUAGAAAUCUCCCACUAUUAUUAUGUGGGAGUCUAAGGCUCUUUGUAAGUCUCUAAGAACUUGCUUUAUGAGUCUGGGUGUUCCUGUAUU